UAAUAAGUUAGGCGAACUUCUAGUUUGUCGUCAACUUCUUAGAGGGACUAUUGACAUUUAGUCAAUGGAAGUUUGAGGCAAUAACAGGUCUGUGAUGCCCUUAGAUGUUCUGGGCCGCACGCGCGCUACACUGACAAAGUCAACAAGUUUAUAUCCUUGGCCGGAAGGU
rnacentral:rRNA from 1 species